rnacentral:rRNA from 1 species
GACGAACGCUGGCGGCGUGCUUAACACAUGCAAGUCGAACGGUGAACUCCGCUUGCGGGGGGAUCAGUGGCGAACGGGUGAGUAACACGUGGGCAACCUGCCCUCAGCUCUGGGAUAACUCCAAGAAAUUGGGGCUAAUACCGGAUAUGACCGCUGACCGCAUGGUCUGGGGGUGGAAAGAUUUAUCGGCUGGGGAUGGGCCCGCGGCCUAUCAGCUUGUUGGUGGGGUAGUGGCCUACCAAGGCGACGACGGGUAGCCGGCCUGAGAGGGUGACCGGCCACACUGGGACUGAGACACGGCCCAGACUCCUACGGGAGGCAGCAGUGGGGAAUAUUGCGCAAUGGGCGAAAGCCUGACGCAGCGACGCCGCGUGGGGGAUGACGGCCUUCGGGUUGUAAACCUCUUUCAGCAGGGACGAAGCGAAAGUGACGGUACCUGCAGAAGAAGCACCGGCCAACUACGUG